rnacentral:rRNA from 1 species
UACAGAGGGGGCAAGCGUUGUUCGGAAUUACUGGGCGUAAAGGGCGCGUAGGCGGCCUGCUAAGUCGAACGUGAAAUCCCCGGGCUCAACCCGGGAACUGCGUCCGAUACUGGCAGGCUUGAAUCCGGGAGAGGGAUGUGGAAUUCCAGGUGUAGCGGUGAAAUGCGUAGAUAUCUGGAGGAACACCGGUGGCGAAGGCGGCAUCCUGGACCGGUACUGACGCUGAGACGCGAAAGCGUGGGGAGCAAACAGG